GAAGGAAAUUAAGUACGGAAGUUCCUGAUUUCACGCUGUCAAGAAAAGCCUCUAGGAAGAGUAGUACUGCCCGUACCGCAAACCGACACAGGUAGAUGAGGAGAGAAUCCUAAGGUGAGCGAGAGAACUCUCGUUAAGGAACUCGGCAAAAUGACCCCGUAACUUCGGGAGAAGGGGUGCUCUAUUAGGGUGCAAGCCCGAGAGAGCCGCAGUGAAUAGGCCCAGGCGACUGUUUAGCAAAAACACAGGUCUCUGCAAAACCGUAAGGUGACGUAUAGGGGCUGACGCCUGCCCGGUGCUGGAAGGUUAAGAGGAGUGCUUAGCUUCGGCGAAGGUACGAAUUGAAGCCCCAGUAAACGGCGGCCGUAACUAUAACGGUCCUAAGGUAGCGAAAUUCCUUGUCGGGUAAGUUCCGACCCGCACGAAAGGCGCAACGAUCUGGGCACUGUCUCAACGAGAGACUCGGUGAAAUUAUAGUACCUGUGAAGAUGCAGGUUACCCGCGACAGGACGGAAAGACCCCGUGGAGCUUUACUGCAACCUGAUAUGGAAUGUUUGUACCGCUUGUACAGGAUAGGUAGGAG
rnacentral:rRNA from 1 species